GAUGAACGCUAGCUACAGGCUUAACACAUGCAAGUCGAGGGGCAGCGCAGUGUAGCAAUACAUGGGCGGCGACCGGCGCACGGGUGCGUAACGCGUAUCCAACCUUCCCGUUACUCAGGGAUAGCCUUCCGAAAGGGAGAUUAAUACCUGAUAGUGUUCAAAUUCCGCAUGUUAUUUGAACUAAAGAUUUAUCGGUAACGGAUGGGGAUGCGUGACAUUAGGUAGAUGGCGGGGUAACGGCCCACCAUGCCUACGAUGUCUAGGGGUUCUGAGAGGAAGGUCCCCCACACUGGAACUGAGACACGGUCCAGACUCCUACGGGAGGCAGCAGUGAGGAAUAUUGGUCAAUGGCCGGAAGGCUGAACCAGCCAAGUAGCGUGAAGGAUGAAGGUUCUAUGGAUUGUAAACUUCUUUUAUACGGGAAUAAAACGUCCCACGUGUGGGAUCUUGUAUGUACCGUAUGAAUAAGCAUCGGCUAACUCCGUGCCAGCAGCCGCCGUAACAC
rnacentral:rRNA from 1 species